UACGUAGGGUGCGAGCGUUGUCCGGAAUUAUUGGGCGUAAAGAGCUUGUAGGCGGUUUGUCGCGUCUGCUGUGAAAAUCCGGGGCUCAACCCCGGACUUGCAGUGGGUACGGGCAGGCUAGAGUUCGGCAGGGGAGACUGGAAUUCCUGGUGUAGCGGUGAAAUGCGCAGAUAUCAGGAGGAACACCGGUGGCGAAGGCGGGUCUCUGGGCCGAUACUGACGCUGAGGAGCGAAAGCGUGGGGAGCGAACAGG
rnacentral:rRNA from 1 species